ACAUAGGGAAAGUGCGAAAGAGAGACAAUUCCUGGGGGGCGGGGGCCAUCUCCAUUGCCCUCUCACGUUUAUUUUUUCUUUAAUCUGGGUAAUGAGAUAAGGAACAGGAGAACCUUUUUUAAGAAGUGUGAAGCAGCCUAUUAAUGCUUCACCUGAGCACUGAGCUUCCUGGAGCUUUACUUGUGCAAGUGGAUUUGGAGCUCGCCAGAAUUUUUUGGAAAGAUACUACAUGAUUUAAAAUAUAAAAACAUAACUGCUUGCAUUGUUUAUUUGGUCUUGAAUAAGGCCUGGCCUGUACACAGUUUUUGCACUUGAAGGUUUAGGAUAAUUUAGUUCCUGCCUCCUCUCCAAAUUACCUGGAAACUCAAAAGACUUCUAUUUUGUAAUUCAGUUAAUUCACCCAUAUUUAAACUGAUUGUGAUAGCCAGGAAAUUCCAAAGUUUUCCAUGUGAUGAAAUCAUGCUUGCCUGUUAAAUUUAUUAGGCAGUAGACCCUCAGUUGUUGUACCUUGGCAUAGCUCACUGCUUGCACCCUCCCUUUAAAAAGGGUGAACAACAAUCUUCUCAAACUCUUAUCAUACCACACCACUCUUCUUUUCUCUGCCCAGCCCCACUUAGUGGCUGGAAGGCUGCCUGUCUCCUCUCUCUGGCAGUCAGAUUUCCUCUGCUCUGAGUGGGCAUGACUUCAGACACAUACUCUGAAAUGGCAGGUGGGAUGGUGACUGGAUCAAAGACCAACCCCUGCCUUAGAUCAGCAGGGGGAGGUGGUUCUCAAACCUUCCAUAGUGUGGACCACAUCUUAAUACAAAGAUGAUCUCAUGGACAACUCUCUUCACAUUCAUGACACUCAGACCAGUCUUCCCUCCCAUUUGGAAUCACAUGCCAUCCCUGAAUAGCUUUAAGCAGUACAAUACAAGUAUUAGCUAACAGAGGUUUGCACAAGAUGCAAAGUGUAGAUCUAGAUUAAAAAACUUUCCCACAGUUCAAGGUUGUUCAGCAUUUGGGUUUGGGCCCAUCUCUUUUAACUGGAAGAGCAGACUACUUACUGUACAUCACCUAGAUCAAUGGUGAAUUAGGCAUCAAAACCAGAUCUACUAGAUUUAUUUAGCAUGAGAGUUUGGUCAUAGAAGUUGUGUGUCACCUUUGUGACCUAAUACUGAAGCAACCUAAGGUGAAAUCCUAUUGAAGUCAAUAGGAGUUUUGUCAUUGACUUCAGUGAGACCAGGAUUUUACCCUGGAAUUCCAGUACUUUCUGCUAACCUGGAUGAAUCCCUGGAUCCCUUGCCAUUCCGCCAAGAAAUCAAGGAGUUAGAGACUUCAGUGGCAGCAUCAAAUAUAUAUAUUUUGACCAAUGUACCUUCCAUGUGAAGAAUCUGGAAGGAUGUAUGGGUAUAACUAACACAGCUGAAACUAUGAGGCUAAAAAUACAGAAGAAAAAGAACAUCCAGCUGGAGUCCUCAUUUUAAAGUGCAGGUAUACUUUGAAAGGGGACUCUGUAAAAGUGGCAUCAUAGAGGUUUAUGUUUUUGGCGGGGGGGUUGUCUCUUAAAUAGUGCAGACCUAAAUUUACUCAGUUUAAAACUUUUUUUUUUUUUUUUUUUUUUUUACUAACUGCUCUGCACACGCCUUAUGAUGUGAAAGUCAACCUGUACAGUACUUUUUUAGCUCAUACCUCAACACCUUAAUGGAAAUUCUGCCAUCAGAAGACAGUAAAAAGUUCUGUUGUUGAUGCAUGAGAUAGAAUAGAAUGCAACUCAGUCUUCGAUGAUCAUAUUGACUCUGCAGUACUAAGUGGAGUAAAAAGUACAGGUGAGUGGCAUCAUACGUGCAUUUAACUUAACGCGAAUUCAACUAUACACCUUCGGCAAAAAAAAGAAAAACAAGAUACCUGUAAAUAGUCCAAGUGAUUCCACCCACCAUUCCACUCAAUGAGCAUAUGCCCCGGAGUGAGCGUGAGAUGGAAUACGUGAAUCUGUUAUUCCCUCUGUUGGUCUCAGUUCCCACGUGUCUCUCAUAGUGUGAGCAUCUUGCCACACUGAGUAUGAUUCUAGUGUUUAAAGAUACGUAUUUUUCAUACAACAUGGCCCCUAAACGCAAGCCAACUACAUCCGGUGCUCAACCGAAGAAACAGCGAUCUGUUCCAACGCUGGAGGAAAAACUGACUGUGUUGUACUUAUUGAGAGACGGCGUGUCGGUCUCCAACAUGGCACAUAAAUAUAGCCACAACGAAUCUAGCAUCCGUGCCAUCAAGAUUCGAGAGAGAGAAAUUCGUCAAGCCAUGGCAUCAAGUGCUCCAAUAACUGCUAAGGUGACGAACCAAGUGCAUGAUAAGACUUUAGUGAAGACUGAAAAAGCAUUAAACUUAUGGCUGAAAGACAUGAACCGUAAAUGUGUGCCUAUGGAUGGCAACAUGUUGUAAGAAAAGACUCAGCCUCUACACGCUGUUCAAACCUCCCACUGAAGAGGGACAGCCUUCUGAUGAGAAGGAAUUCAAAGCCAGCCAAGGUUAGCUUAACAGUUUUAGGAACUGCUUCAACUUCAAAAACAUGCAGACUACUGGUGAAGCUGCAUCUGCCAAUGAAGAGGCAGCAAAAGCCUACCCUGAACAAUUAAAGAAAAUCAUAGAAGAAAAGGGCUAUCUUCUGGCUUUUUAAUGCUGACAAGAGUGGGCUCUUCCGGAAAAAAA